rnacentral:lncRNA from 7 species
UUCAUCUUGUAGGCAAUACUUUAAAGCUAUCUGUGUUGCUGUAAGGCUGAAGAGAGAGACAGAAAAUUAAAGCCUUCAUGUAGACCUUUACCCUCAGGAACUGAGCUGUGGGUUUGUACUUCUGAGAGCAGAAGGAAACAGGAUGUCAUAUACCCUUGUCCAUUAGUGCUUGAAAGGAGCUCAGUCUAAAAUUUUGAGUCCUAUUGCAAGGCAUUUGAAAAUGGAAAAAAUGUUGUAUAGUGCUUGUCAUUCUUUCAUUGCUUCCGGAGUGCCUUCAUUAGCAACCCUGUAAAAUCCUGUGCUUUAUCAGAUUUCAUUUAUCACCAUUAAGGAUGACCCCAUCAUGUCUGUCCAUUGUCCACUUGCUCACAUAUUACCUCAUAGCUGUCAAACAAGUAAUAGGUGGAGGUCCAUUGGGCUGGUACUUCCUGUUCACUUUCAGAUGUACUGAUAAAAGGGUUGCUUGGAUGUCCCUCAGGGUUUGAGAUUCUGUCAGGCUAAGGCUGAAGGGUUGGCCUUUCUCCAUCUGUAUUUUAAACACACGUAUGCUCAUCUCAAUAUCAGCUGUGUGAAAGCAAAACUCCCAAAUCUAGAAAUACAAGCUUGUAUUAAUAUGCAGUUUCUUUGUGAACUUCUUGCUCAUCCUUGAGUCUUAACAAUAAAAAAGACCAGUGAUUUCAUGUAUUGUUUAUGAAAUAUAUGAAGAGAUGUACAAUGAAGAAAUAUAAAAGAAAAGCAAGAAAAGCUGUUGACUUACAAUAUCUUAUUUAAAAUUUUCUACUUUUCUUAUGCACACCCUCAUGAGUGUGGAUUUCAUUUCAAAAUUAUCUUGGCUCUGGAAUAUUUUACUGAAACUUGGCAGCUCUCUCUGGCUAUUGUGAAGCUUGAAUUGAACAGCUCAGUCCCCACUAGGGUGUUAACUAACUUAAUCCAUAAAUACACUGAGAAUUAUAGGUGAUAAUAAAUGCUCACAGUUGGCUCUAUGUAUUUGUAGAGCUUGUACAUUGUUUGAAAGUCUUAUUCCACUAAUUAGUGUGUGGAGUGCUUAAUGUUUCAAUAAUAAGAAAGGAAAAGGGCAUGUUUUCUUGCUUGAUCAAUUUAAAGGCCUAUUUGGUAAGCUGAGACUUUUAUGCACUUACUGGCAUGGACUUUUAUAGUGGAUCAAUUGGGUGAUUAUAUUAUGGGGAAAUGCUAAAUAUUAAUGCUUGCCUGGACAUUUUCCCUAAAGGUAUCAAUCUUCCAAGGUGUAAUCUGCCUUACUUCAAAAAGAUGUAUACUAGUGGUAAGAACAACCUACAUAUUUGGCAGAGUCCCUGAUAAAUUCUAUAUGCAGCAGUAAAAGAAAGAGGUGAACUUCAGUUAACUUUUUUAAUGAACACCUACAGCCAGAUAUUUAUGUUUUGGAAAAGUGCACAGUCAAGAAACUUAAGUACUGCUUGGUAGACAGUGAUACUUUCUAUUCACGCUUACUAGAGCAACACUGUACUGGAAUGUCAAAGCUUUUGAGAUCUGUAUGUGAAGUGGACAGACUCAGAUUAUUUUGCCGGUGAGUCUGUCACUGAGAGUCAUUUCAUGUAUAGACAUAAAGUAAACAAUGAUCCAGGAGAUAAAGAAGGGUGGGCAAGUACAAGACAGAUUGUUAGGAUCAUAAUAGAAAUAUGGUUACAAUCUAAUAUGAGAAAAACCGUCACAGUAAACAGUAGCAAAAGUAACAGGAAACUGAUGAACUAGAUUAGAAAGAAAAAUAAGUUCAUGUUUACUGGAAGAAAUUAAAAUUGGCAUGAUAUGCCAACGGGAAAAGUUACAGAGCUUGGUGAUUUGUGAGAUGGUUAUGAGAAAAGUUAUGGCUUGUGACGGGAUAAGUCUGUACUAGCAAGUUCAGUUCUAGCUCUUCAUGAUAAGUGCCAACAGGUGAUUGUGAUUAUAAAUUUAUGGAGUCUUUCAAUUUUUCACAAAGAGGAACCUGGCUCAAUAAUGUUGUGUUAUGAAGGUUGUGCUUCAACUUUUUUGUAAAGAUAAGAAUGAUUAUUUUGUUUUUUGCAUUAUUAUCUUUGUUACUUAAGUAAUUAUUUCCAGCAGUUACUGGACAAAUGUGUGGAGCUUGCAUAUAAGUUCUGGAGUACAGGCAGUCCGCUGAAUAUCAUUUCUUAAAGAAGAGAUGAGAUGAGGACAGCAUUC